GGGGUGCUGGUUUAUGACUAGGGCUUCUGGGUGCUACAGUAAUACAGAUUUAGAAUAUAUUAAUAAUAAUGAUAACACAGCAUGGCAUUUCUUCACAUGGCUCAAUUAACCAGGCACCAAAUAGACCCUGAUUUAUCACCAUCAAGGUUGUUUGUUGUCUAUAUACUCUCAGUGCAGCUAGUCAAACUAUUAUGCAAAGUGAAACAUAAGUGAACUAAUAAUAUUAUGAACAAACUCAGCUUAUCAAAAAGUGAUUAUGUAUAUAACAAAAAUAAAAAGCAAGCACCAUGAAAUGUACAUAGCAAACUAAACAACUUCAUAAUUUUAUUGCUGUAAACCUCAUCCUCCCUUCCUCCACAUAGUGACUAAUUGGUACUGUCUUAUGUCUAGAUUUAAUAUACAAGUUUUUAGGGGCAAGAACUGUGACUUUGCGCUUUCUGUAAAGCACCUUCUAUAUUUUGGGUGGUAUGUGACAAUAAAUGCUAGAUUUUAGUUCAGAAAAUUGAGCAGGAGAAACCAUUGGAACUGAAUUUUGAAUCCAGAGGGCCUCAUUCUUCUCUUAUCCUUUAUAAUUGCUUUUGCACUACCAUCUUUUCUCCUCACAAGCUCCCAUGUAGGUUUUAACUCUUGUCUGCAAGGGAGGCAUAGAGCAGAGGCUAGGCAGAUACACCACACACAUCAUCUCACCCUACCUCCAGCAGAAUUUCCAAGUUAAAAAUGAUAAAAACUGCCUAAGGCUGUAUUAUAAGAUCAAACAGCUUGACUGGCUUGUUUUAAAAAAAAAUGCUUCAGGUUAACAGAAUUAAAUGUAUAUGAAGUAUUAACACUCACAAAAAAGAAGGCAGAGGAUAGAAUUCAAACAAAAGAAAUAUGGGAACAAUGUUUUUGUUACUUGUUCCAAGAUAAUACAAUUAUUUUAUACUCUUAUGAGUUUCUUUCCGGGAUAAAUCUUUAAUUAUACACUGUGGAACAGCUUCAACAGCAAAGACUGAGGAAGCCCCACAUCAGAAUAUCCUGUACCACAUUGCUUAGAGACUCUUCUGACCCCUGUUCAAAUCCCCUUUCCCCUCCUCAGGCAAAGGCGGGAAUUGAUCCUGGGUCUCCUAUGUCUCAGAGCUGAUACAAGCCAGUCCCAACUGGUUUGAAACUGUCAUCCCCUCAGAACUUUUCCACCACUCACUCUUUAUAAGGAACUAUGCCAUGUCAUCACGGGGCUGUCUGUCCAGGAGGCAGCCAUGUGCAGUCGGGCUUUUGCGUGGAUCUCCGGAUCAAGAGCUGUGAAGGAUCCAGUGACACCAUCAACUUACCUGCCAUCCAGGGUCCUGUGGUCCACCAUCCAGCAGCUUUGGUCCACCAGCUUGUCACCAUCCAGCAGCUGAGAUCCAGUGUUCCUCCCCAAAGGCCAGCGUUUGGCUUGAGGGUAGAAGGUCCUGGACCCACCGCUCACUAUCAUCUGACCUGCCCAUAGAUGACAUUGGAGUAGCAGUAGGCUAUAUAGGAGAUUUGAUUUGUUUUGUUAUUGUUGCUGUGGGAGGGGUAUAUUGGGCCUGAGCUUCAAGUUCCUUUGUUGCAGUCCACUGUUUGCUGUGUUUUUAUGUGUUUGCUUGUGGUUGUCCCUUUACCCCUUUCAUGUAACCAACCCUAAUACACUACUUACCUGAUUCAAACAUAA